GAUGAAGAACGCAGCGAAAUGCGAUAAGUAAUGCGAAUUGCAGAAUUCCGUGAGUCAUCGAAUUUUUGAACGCAUAUUGCACCUAUUGGUAUUCCGAUAGGUAUAUCUAUUCGAGCGUCAUUAUCCUCUCUCAGAUUAAAUUUGUUUUUAAUUUGGCAUUGAAGAAAAUGAUUUUUAGUUAAAUCAUCUCUUUCAAAGAUAAUGAUUGAAUUAAAUUUUUUAAAUCAUACAUUGAGUUUUUUCAUUAAAACAAGUAUGGUAAAAAAGAUUUGACCAAUAAAAUAAUUUUUAUUUAAAUGGUUGACCUCGAAUUAGAUAAGAUUACCCGCUGAACUUAAGCAUAUCAAUAAGCGGAGGA
rnacentral:misc_RNA from 1 species